rnacentral:rRNA from 1 species
ACUGAAUUUCCUAGGGGGCGUCAAAGCCUACCGAAGAAUAUCAAACUCCGAAUGCCGCGUAAUCGAUUAUCGGGAGUCAGACUGCACGAGAUAAGUUGGGCGGUCAAAAGGGAAAGAGCCCAGACCUUCAGUUAAGGUCCCAAAGUGCGCGUUAAGUGGAAAAGGAUGUGGGAUUUCGAAGACAACCAGGAUGUUGGCUCAGAAGCAGCCAUCCAUUCAAAGAGUGCGUAAUAGCUCACUGGUCGAGAGGUCCUGCGCCGAAAAUGUCCGGGGCUGAAACGCGCCACCGAAACUAAGGAACCGAAAGGUUGGUAGAGGAGCAUUGCAUGCGGAACGAAGCAGUACCGUAAGGAGCUGUGGACUGCAUGGAAGAGAGAAUGCCGGAAUGAGUAGCGAGAUAGAGGUGGGAAUCCUCUAGGCCGAAUAUCCAAGGUUUCCAGAGUAAAGCUGAUCUGCUCUGGGUAAGUCGGGGCCUAAGGCGAGGACGAGAGUCGUAGCCGAUGGACAACAGGUGGAGAUUCCUGUACUGCGGUAUGACAGAACUGUGGGGACACGUAAGGAAAGCGGAAGCCGGGAAUGGAAAGCCCGGUGCAAGCGGGGUACCAGUCACUCUGGCAAAUCCGGGUGGCAAUGGGAAGCCGUGAUGCGGAGCGAAAUAAAGUAGCGAAGUCCGUGAGCCAUGCGUCAAGAAAAGCCGCUAUUGUUUGUACCGUACCCGUACCGUAAACCGACACAGGUGGAUGAGGAGAGAAUCCUAAGGCCGGCGGAAGAAGCAUUGUUAAGGAAUUCGGCAAAAUGACCCCGUAACUUCGGGAGAAGGGGUGCCUGCGAGAGCAGGCCGCAGAGAAUAGGCUCAAGCAACUGUUUAGCAAAAACACAGGUCUAUGCGAAACCGAAAGGUGAGGUAUAUGGGCUGACGCCUGCCCGGUGCUGGAAGGUUAAGAGGAGAGGUUAGCGCAAGCGAAGCUUUGAAUUUAAGCCCCAGUAAACGGCGGCCGUAACUAUAACGGUCCUAAGGUAGCGAAAUUCCUUGUCGGGUAAGUUCCGACCCGCACGAAAGGCGUAAUGAUUUGAGCGCUGUCUCGACAAUGCAUCCGGUGAAAUUGAAGUACCAGUGAAGAUGCUGGUUACCUGCGCCAGGACGGAAAGACCCCAUGGAGCUUUACUCCAGUUUGGUACUGGGACUCGGUAUUGCAUGUACAGGAUAGGUGGGAGGCUUGGAGACAGUAACGCCAGUUAUUGUGGAGCCGCUGUUGGGAUACCACCCUUGCAGUAUUGGGUUUCUAACCAGCCGCCGUGACCCGGCGGUGGGACAAUGCCAGACGGGGAGUUUGACUGGGGCGGUCGCCUCCGAAAGGGUAUCGGAGGCGCCCAAAGGUUCCCUCAGAAUGGACGGAAACCAUUCGAAGAGUGCAAAGGCAGAAGGGAGCUUGACUGCGACACCGACGGGUGGAGCAGGUACGAAAGUAGGACUUAGUGAUCCGGUGGUAUAAAGUGGGAUUGCCAUCGCUCAACGGAUAAAAGCUACCCUGGGGAUAACAGGCUUAUCACUCCCAAGAGUUCACAUCGACGGAGUGGUUUGGCACCUCGAUGUCGGCUCAUCGCAUCCUGGGGCUGUAGUAGGUCCCAAGGGUUGGGCUGUUCGCCCAUUAAAGCGGUACGCGAGCUGGGUUCAGAACGUCGUGAGACAGUUCGGUCCCUAUCCGGCGUGGGCGUAGGAUAUCUGAGAGGAGCUGUCCUUAGUACGAGAGGACCGGGAUGGACGGGCCGCUGGUGCAUCGGUUAGACUGCCAAGUCUACGGCCGAGUAGCCAAGCCCGGAAGGGAUAAACGCUGAAGGCAUCUAAGCGUGAAGCCCCCCUUAAGAUGAGAUAUCCCAUUCGAAAGAAGUAAACCCCCUUGA